UGUAUUCAAUAGGCUGUACACAUUCCGCGGAUGUUAUCGCAAGUGCAGCGAAAUGCUUGUUUCUAUCUCCAACAAUGCGGAAAUACCUGACAAUACACACAAAUGAAGAAAAUAAAUAAAUACAUAUAUAUAUAUACACUUAUUUAUUUUCGUAUCCGAUCGUGCAUGAAUAUAAAUGUACACAGUUGUGUCAAGUUGGCUUUGGGUGGUGGAACAUUCUUCAUACACACGGAAAUAUGUGUGUGACAGUUCUUGACACAAACCGUGCGCCUGGCACCUACUACCAUACCCCGUAGAGACCUGUGGAUGGGCAUAUAGUCCGUAUGGAUAGUCUCUGGGAGAGCUGUAGUUGUUAGCCAAUUAACAGUCUUAUGGCCAGGGGAUAGAAGCUGUUUAGGAGUCUGUUGGUCUGAGCCUUGAUUCACCGGUCCAGCCUGCCGGAUGGGAGUGCAGCCGGUUUGGCUACUUUUCUGCGUUCAGUUUGAUUCUGCUGUAUUUGUAACGAACAGGUCUAGUCUGGACAGUAGUUGUCUUUUAUUUAUCUGGAUUGGAUGGAAUACAUGCAAUGCACUGGAUGGUGAGCUUCUCAAUACUGCACACCUAACGUGAGGAAAGUAAUGCAAGCAAGUACCUGCACGAGGGAAGUUACAUUACAGACAGCCUGCUAGCAUGUAAGUUAACUAGCUAGCCUAAAAUUGCACCACUUCGUAAACUCUUUCAGCAGAAUAUUUCAUCAGAAACGGUUGGCUAGCAACACAACACUAUUGGAAUACAUUAUAUCACAAUUAUAUGACGAUUUACUACUUCUAAGCAUUUAUAACAUAUGCAUUUACACAUACCUCUCCUCAGUAGAACCAAAACAUACUGAGAGGGAACUCCUGCGUCUGACUUGAAGGUACUGCAGGCCAGAGCAAUAUACCACAGAGCAAUCGAUACACUCACAAUCCAUGGAUAUGAAAGGAUUUAGGUGAAAUACACAAGGCAAUAUUAACACUCGUUACAGGAGCAUGGAGAACGGUCCAGGUCUCAGUGGCUCGAGUCUAUUUUUUGUUGUUGUAGAUUUGUGACGCUUGAUUGUGUAUGUUGCACCAGACAAUACAUUUCUGCAAGUCAAAAUUUAUGGAUUUGGUUACAUCUUGACAAUGGAAUAGAAAUUAUAGCAGGUUGAUGUUUAUUGGGAUGAAUCUUGUCCUGGAAGCAGAGCUGAGCGGUUUGAGAGGAGUGGAAGAGAGGGCCAGGGUGGCUUCUUCCCGCCCCUAUAGUACAGGAACCUCCUCUGUUGAUUUGUAGGUCUUCCAUUCACACAUACACACACACACACACACACACAUACACAGAUACUGCAGGGGCCUAGCAGACAAAGUCAGGAUGUGACAUCACUCACAGGAAGAGAAGCCAAACCACUUUUUUCAGCUUUUUUUUGUCUGCGCUGCUGUGUAACUGAGUGAAGUUGGAGCCUCAAGGUCUGUUGGUGGCUGGGAAGGAGAGAGUCUCCAUAGGAUCCGGAGAGGGACAGAUCUGCCUGGAUCGUUGUCCAGGGGGAAUUAAAGUAAAGGGGGCUGACCAAGGAACUCUCCUUGGCCUUCCAAAGACUCCCCACAUCAUUCCAAGCCAUCCACACGGACCCCGGCCAGAGAAAUGUCCCUGCAUUCCCAACCGCCUCCAAUGUAGAGGUCACUGCCCUCAGAACUCCUCAGAGAACACCUUAACCUGAACAAACUUAUGUUCGUGAAACGUGUCCAAUUACCUCUCAGGAACCCCCCCGCACCCAACACACACACUGUCCAUUAGUCCACCAUUAAGACAAUGGCGCUCUGUCUCGGACAAGUCUUCAGCAAAGACAAAACGUUCAGGCCUCGGAAGCGCUUCGAGCCUGGGACCCAGCGCUUUGAACUAUACAAGAAGGCCCAGGCCUCUCUGAAGUCCGGCCUGGACCUGAGGAAAGUGGUCCAGCUUCCUGAAGGAGAGAACAUCAAUGACUGGAUCGCUGUGCAUGUGGUGGACUUCUUCAACCGCAUCAACCUAAUCUACGGCACGGUCAGCGAGUUCUGCACCGAGCGCACCUGCCCCAUCAUGUCCGGGGGCCUGCGCUACGAGUACAGGUGGCAGGACGGAGACGACUACAAGAAGCCCACCAAGCUACCUGCCUUGAAAUACAUGAACCUACUGAUGGACUGGAUUGAGACCAACAUCAACAAUGAGGACAUCUUCCCCACAAGAGUGUUCCUUUCCCUAAGAACUUCCAGCAGGUGUGUAAGAAGAUUCUGAGCCGUCUUUUCCGGGUCUUUGUGCAUGUCUACAUCCACCACUUUGACAGCAUCUGUAGCAUGGGCGCCGAGGCUCACAUCAAUACCUGUUACAAACACUACUACUACUUCAUCUCUGAGUUCAGCCUCAUCGAGCACUCAGAACUGGAACCCCUGAGGGCAAUGACAGAGAAGAUCUGUAACUAAACCACUUGGAAAAUGGAGUUUACAUCAUUUCAGCAUUCCCUGUGGCCUUCAAGAGACCCACAGCUUCAAUACAACCAAACACUCAAACUAAAGGAAUGGAUUGAGUGGAUUUGAAGAACUAAAGUGUUAUCCAUCCCAAGCAUUACAAAGUUUGUUCAUAAAGUGACAUUUUCAGACAAUAGUCUAUGUUUUAUGAAAAAGGACUGUUCUGCUUCCUAUAGUGCUGUGACAUGAUGCAGCACUCCAGUCUUCUGAGCUUUAUUGUAAUUGUAGUAAUGUUUAGUAAUAACUAUUCUAGCUCUGUUUUAUUACGCAUGUAUAGUUCUUGACAUCAUCAACAUUGGAAAUGUUUGCGGCUUCGAGGUGUUUGAGACACUGUGUAAUGGAUGGAAGGUCACAACCAUAGAGAUAGAUAGAUGACUCAUCUUUGUAUCUGUGCAAUUAUAGAGUCUGUGACAGCAUGGGCAUUGAGGCUAUCUCCAUUUUGAAGUAGUACAUUUUCUUCUUCACAAUUGGGUGAUCCCUCAUGAUGACCUGAUUGGACAUGACUCCAACAGGGUCACCAGGAGGGAUCAACCAAUGAAGUUGGAAGUCCAGCCCAGUUGACUACAUUAAAAUGGUGGAAGCUCUAAAUGGUGCUGCCCAUGCUAAUAUGGCCUUUUGGCCACUAGAGGCCUCUAUCAUUCUCUAUGGUAACAACACUAGACCUGUCUCCAGUGUUUUGCAUUUUUAUGACAAAUAUGUGUGGAAUGUGUCCCAGCCAGACAACUUGAAAAACAAGUGUCCAGGGAUGUGCAGAAUGACAAGUAUGGACUCAUACUGGGAAUUACUGACUUAAUUUUAAUUUACACAAAACCAGUUUAAACCUUACUCUGUGAGACUGAUCUGAUGUGUAACUGAUUCAAUUUCCAAGUAUUAAGAGCCUAUUUUACCCUU